AAUGAUCCCCACAUGAGUUGUUUGCCCUUGUUAUCCUGGUGUGCAUCGGAUGGUUCAACACCUUCAUUAUAGAACUUAUUUUUUUGGUGGGGCUCAUGGGCCAGAAGUUGAGUCAAGUGACCCUACCGAAUGGCUGAUUCAAUGGAAUCCUUUAGGUGGACACAAUACUCAGUAUGAUAGCUAGGAGCAAUUUGUAAUCAAUAGUGGUGGUUGGAGUUGUUUCGGUGUUGGUUGGAGAGUAAAGGUGGUGGGGUUUCUAGUAUCCUUAAUGCUCCACCUGAUUGAAGAUCCAGGUCGGGGAAGAAGUGAGAUCGUAGGUGAAAAAAUAGUUGUACGAGGCACUCUAUAUUUAGCUUUUGUUGGCUCUAUUAUCCUGG
rnacentral:lncRNA from 1 species